AACGAACGCUGGCGGCAUGCCUAACACAUGCAAGUCGAACGAGACCUUCGGGUCUAGUGGCGCACGGGUGCGUAACGCAUGGGAACCUGCCCUUAGGUUCGGAAUAACUCCCCGAAAGGGGUGCUAAUACCGGAUAAUGUCUUCGGACCAAAGAUUUAUCGCCUUUGGAUGGGCCCGCGUUGGAUUAGCUAGUUGGUAGGGUAAAAGCCUACCAAGGCGACGAUCCAUAGCUGGUCUGAGAGGAUGAUCAGCCACACUGGGACUGAGACACGGCCCAGACUCCUACGGGAGGCAGCAGUGGGGAAUAUUGGACAAUGGGCGAAAGCCUGAUCAAGCAAUGCCGCGUGAGUGAUGAAGGCCUUAGGGUUGUAAAGCUCUUUUACCCGGGAUGAUAAUGACAGUACCGGGAGAAUAAGCUCCGGCUAACUCCGUG
rnacentral:rRNA from 1 species